rnacentral:sRNA from 1 species
UGACUAAUCUAAUUUCGUCAUCACCAUU